rfam:Arthrobotrys oligospora ATCC 24927 unplaced genomic scaffold scaffold00097, whole genome shotgun sequence.
GGUUGUAUGGUGUAGUGGUUAGCACUCCAGAUUCUGAUCAGUGAAUUCUGGCGACUUGGGUUCAAUUCCCAAUACGACCU